rnacentral:rRNA from 1 species
UAGAGUUUGAUCCUGGCUCAGAAUCAACGCUGGCGGCGCGCCUAACACAUGCAAGUCGAACGAGAAAGUGGAGCAAUCCAUGAGUAAAGUGGCGUACGGGUGAGUAACACGUGGAUCAUCUGCCCUUUUGUGGGGAAUACCGAUGGGAAACCGUCGACAAUACCGCAUAAGCCCGAGAGGGGAAAGCAGCAAUGCGCAGAAGGAGGAGUCCGCGGUCGAUUAGCUAGUUGGUAGGGUAAUGGCCUACCAAGGCUGUGAUCGAUAGCCGGCCUGAGAGGGCACACGGCCACACUGGCACUGAAACACGGGCCAGACUCCUACGGGAGGCAGCAGUGGGGAAUCUUGCACAAUGGGGGAAACCCUGAUGCAGCGACGCCGCGUGAGCGAUGAAGCCCUUCGGGGUGUAAAGCUCUUUCGGCAGGGAAGAUUAUGACGGUACCUGCAGAAGCAGCUGCGGCUAACUACGUGCCAGCAGCCGCGGUAAUACGUAGGCAGCAAGCGUUGUUCGGAGUUACUGGGCGUAAAGGGUGCGUAGGCGGCCCUGUAAGUAUGGUGUGAAAUCUCCCGGCUUAACUGGGAGGGUGCGCUAUAGACUGCGGGGCUCGAGUGUGGGAGAGGAAAGUGGAAUUCCUGGUGUAGCGGUGAAAUGCGUAGAUAUCAGGAGGAACACCGGUGGUGUAAACGGCUUUCUGGACCAUAACUGACGCUGAGGCACGAAAGCGUGGGUAGCAAACAGGAUUAGAUACCCUGGUAGUCCACGCCCUAAACGAUGCACAUUUGGUGUGGG